UUGAAGCUGCUUCAAACCGUCUGUUUACUCAGACAAUUAAUGACAUUUGACCUCAAAUCAGGUAGGACUACCCGCUGAACUUAAGCAUAUCAAUAAGCGGAGG
rnacentral:rRNA from 1 species